rnacentral:rRNA from 1 species
UACAGAGGUCUCAAGCGUUGUUCGGAUUCAUUGGGCGUAAAGGGUGCGUAGGUGGCGCGCUAAGUCAGGUGUGAAAUUUCGGAGCUUAACUCCGAAACUGCAUUUGAUACUGGCGUGCUUGAGGACUGGAGAGGAGACUGGAAUUCAUGGUGUAGCAGUGAAAUGCGUAGAUAUCGUAAGGAAGACCAGUGGCGAAGGCGGGUCUCUGGACAGUUCCUGACGCUGAGGCACGAAGGCCAGGGGAGCAAACGGGG